UACGAAGGGGGCUAGCGUUGUUCGGAAUUACUGGGCGUAAAGCGCGCGCAGGCGGCUAUCCAAGUCAGUGGUGAAAGCCCGGAGCUCAACUCCGGAACUGCCAUUGAAACUGUUUAGCUUGAGGACGAGAGAGGUGAGUGGAAUUCCCAGUGUAGAGGUGAAAAUUCGUAGAUAUUCGCAAGAACACCAGUGGCGAAGGCGGCUCACUGGCCCGGUACUGACGCUGAGGUGCGAAAGCGUGGGGAGCAACAGGG
rnacentral:rRNA from 1 species